UACGAAGGGGGCGAGCGUUGUUCGGAAUCACUGGGCGUAAAGGGCGCGUAGGCGGCCCUCUUAGUCGCGUGUGAAAGCCCCGGGCUCAACCUGGGAAUGGCAUUUGGGACUGCAAGGCUGGAGUGCGGCAGAGGAGACUGGAAUUCCUGGUGUAGCAGUGAAAUGCGUAGAUAUCAGGAGGAAUACCGAUGGCGAAGGCAGGUCUCUGGGCUGACACUGACGCUCAUGCACGAAAGCGUGGGGAGCAAACAGG
rnacentral:rRNA from 1 species